rnacentral:lncRNA from 1 species
CGGUGUCUCGACUGCUCACAAUGGGGUUGCUGUAGUUUGACAACAUAUAAAUAUGAUCUCUAGCCAUUCGAAGUCUUGCGGUGUUCGUUGGCUACAGUAGAUUCAUUAUAGGAGUAGGAGUACACUUAUAGGAGAUCUAUCGACUUUAGUAGUUGAGUAGUCCUAUGCGACCUAAGAAGCUGAGUCUUUAAGUCUGUAGCCACAGCAGUGUGAUAAUAAAAAAGAGUUUCUAUGGAA